CAUUAAGUAAGUGCCCUUAAUCAGCUUUUCAGUUCAGUUUUAUUGGUUGCAUGCACAGUCAGUUAUUUCAUCCAGAAAAUCUGAGGGUCCUACAAAGCUAACCAGGGGUCUACAGUUGUUCCUGGUCAUAUCAGAAGAUUCCUGAACCAAGGACAUUGCUUAAAGGAAUAAAAAUAGAAUAACGAUGAAAACAAUCUGUUUAUAAACAGCAUCACUGUUCUAUGUAAUAGGUAAUACCUAAUUCAAUAAACUGUGUAAAAAUUUUGCUUUUGAAUUAA